rfam:Paenibacillus sp. Soil522 contig_5, whole genome shotgun sequence.
AGUACCUUUAACUCAGUCCCGAGAGGCUGGCAAGGUAGCGUGAAAUACAGGUCAAUAGAAGAGAAGAAUAGGACAUCCAAAUGCGCGGCUUUCUGUGACGAAAGCCGCGAUGGCAUGUACCCUAUCUCUUCAUGACUUUUCACAAGCUCCUUGCGAUUUAUGCAAGGAGCUUUUUUUGU